GUCCUCUAUAUGAGGACAAACAUAUUAAAGUGAUUUUUAGAGCUGGGAGCUGAAAAAGGGGCUUGCUCCGUUCGCUCCACGCAUCGUCCCGGCAUUGCAGUGCCGCCGGGUACGGUGC
rnacentral:snRNA from 1 species